GCACUUCUAGGCGCCUGCCCUACUGUGAGGUCACGGGGUGACUGUGACGCUCGGGUGACAUCACAAGGCACGCAGCUAGAGAUGGACGUUUGCUUCCCGGCACUUGUGGCCAUAACAGUUCUGCUGUCUGCUUGCCAGAGUCCACCCAAGGACUUUCACGGGGUUCGCUUAGUGCAAAUAGAACAAACGCGGCAUAAUCCUGAGGUUGAAGACAACAGAAGAAUGAUUUCCAAGGAAAUUCAACUGGGGUUCAUAUUAUGUGAAUAUCAUGUAGUAUUUCCAAGGAGGAUAACAUAGCAUAGGAUUAAUGACAGCAUUUUGGGAGGCGGCUGGUUGUGAGAUUAUUAUAUUUACUUUCAAUUGGAUUAGAUUAAUUGAGAUUAUGGAACCAGGUGAUCUAUGCAGUUUAUUCCAGCUAAUACAUAAAAUACACCUCAUUCACAAGAUACUAGGAACCAUUCUUUAUGGUUUUUAAUUUCAUAGUUAGAGCAAAAUAGGGAAAAUUGUAGUCUAUCAUACAACUCUGUGUCUCUUUGUCUGCAUAAUGUUUACUCUUAAUUUGAGUAUUUUCCUGGAAUACAAUGUACCAAUGCUGACCUAUAUCACUUAGUCAUUGUGGAAUGCAUUCCCUAUGAAAUAACAAAAUUAUAUCGUAUNGGCUUUUAUGCUUACAACAGUUUUAAAGUCAUGAGAGUUUUCUUUGGGAUUAGAACCAAAAUCUGUCCAACAAAUUUCCAUAGGGAUUGCUGGAUGUCUUCAUAUGCGUCCUAAAUAGUUGUACUUUUUUAAAGCCAAGGAAACAAAAUAUUUUUAAGUACUUUUUCUUCAAAUGUGCUGCUGGUGAAGAAAGACAUGAGGAAAUACUGAGUAGAAACUGAACUGUGGUGAAAGAGCCUCCUGUUGAACAAAAUCAUUCAUCAAUUCCAACAGCAGCAGAAAGUAAAUGAAAACAUGACCUGAAUCAGCAGCUGAAAAAAAGAGAAGUUAAGCCUGUUAGAAAUGCUUCUGUCAGAUUUUUGGCAUAGUUUUGUCCUUAUAUGAUACAUCUAAAAUACUGUAGGUAUGUUCUCAAAAUAAUAAUAAUAAUAAUAAAACUGUUGUAGACAUUAAAGUAAUUCUUGAA
rnacentral:lncRNA from 1 species